AUGCUUUCAAAGGGACUUCCUGAUUGUGGCCGAAAAGAGCUAAAAAAGUGGAACCCAUCUGGCAAUAGCUCUUUAAAAUUCGUUUCAGUGAGUUCUUUCAAUUUGGAAAUCACUAGUCUUCUUCUAUGCAACAACAAUUUUUCAAGUGGAUUUCCCUUGCUCCUACGACAAUGUCCAAGUCUUAUUUUCCUCGAUCUAACUCAAAAUAGAUUCACCGGAGAGUUGCCAGGAUGGAUUAGUGAAGCCAUGCCCGGUUUGGUUAUGCUACGGUUAAGAUCGAACAACUUUUCUGGUCACAUUCCAGUUGAAAUCAUGGGACUUCAUGCUAUUUCUAUUCUUGAUCUGUCCGAUAAUAACUUUGAUGGGGCCAUACCGCCAUAUAUAGAAAACUUGAAAGCUUUGAGUAGCACUAAUACAAUAUUUCGUGAUCCUUUUGUAGAGGAUGAAAGUGGUGAGAAUAGUAUCACUGAUAUAGGAAGGGUUAAUGAUAGCAUCACGGUGGUGAUGAAAGGGCAAGCGCUUGAGUAUGGGGCCAAUAUUGUAUAUUUGAUGAGCAUUGAUUUGUCUUGCAACAAUUUGACUGGAGAAAUCCCAGAGGAAGUAAGCUCCCUUGUUGGUCUCAAAAGUUUGAAUUUAUCAUCAAACUUGUUGAGUGGAAAUAUCCCGUAUAAUAUUGGAAAACUUCGAUUAGUGGAGUCUCUUGACCUCUCGAGGAACAAACUAGGUGGUGAAAUCCCUCAGAGCUUAUCAGAUUUGACAUACCUGAGCUAUUUAAACUUGUCGUACAAUAAUCUGUCUAGAAGAAUACCCGCAGGGCAUCAACUCGACACCCUCAAUACAGAUGACCCAACCUCUAUGUACACUGGUAAUCCUGCUCUUUGUGGACAUCCAAUUCCAAGGCAAUGUCCUGGUCCGCCUAGAGAUCAACAAACCAACGGAGAUCCAGCAAGGUUGCCUCGAGAUGGCUUGUCUCAAAUGGAUUUUCUUCUUGGAUCAAUUGUUGGCUUUGUGGCGAGCGCAUGGACGGUGUUUUUUGGACUUUUCUUCAUGAAGAGAUGGAGGUAUGCUUAUUUUGGGGUACUCGACAAGCUAUACGAUAGGUUGUAUGUCAUUUUUCUUGUUACUUGGAAAAAGUGGUUCGGACCACGGGUGUGA
rnacentral:rRNA from 1 species